GCCGGGGUGGCGGAAUGGCAGACGCGCACGUUUCAGGUGCGUGUGCUCGCAAGAGUAUAAGGGUUCAAGUCCCUUCCCCGGCA
rnacentral:tRNA from 1 species